rnacentral:rRNA from 1 species
UACAGAGGUCCCAAGCGUUGUUCGGAUUCACUGGGCGUAAAGGGUGCGUAGGCGGUCGGGUAAGUCUGAUGUGAAAUCUCACAAGCUUAACUGUGAAACUGCAUUGGAUACUAUCCGGCUCGAGGAAUGGAGGGGAGACUGGAAUACUUGGUGUAGCAGUGAAAUGCGUAGAUAUCAAGUGGAACACCAGUGGCGAAGGCGAGUCUCUGGACAUUUCCUGACGCUGAGGCACGAAAGCCAGGGAGCAAACGGG